UGGGUAACCUGCCUCAAAGAGGGGAAUAGCCUCCCGAAAGGGAGAUUAAUACCGCAUAAUAUGUUUAAGUCGCAUGACUUUAACAUCAAAGGAUUUUCUUUUAGAAAUUCCACUUUGAGAUGGACCCGCGGCGCAUUAGCUAGUUGGUGAGGUAACGGCUCACCAAGGCAACGAUGCGUAGCCGACCUGAGAGGGUGAUCGGCCACAUUGGAACUGAGACACGGCCCAGACUCCUAGGGAG
rnacentral:rRNA from 1 species